UACGAGGGGGGCGAGCGUUGUUCGGAAUUAUUGGGCGUAAAGGGUGCGUAGGCGGUUCCGCAAGUCCUGUGUGAAAUCUUCGGGCUCAACUCGAAGUCUGCACGGGAAACUGCGGGGCUUGAGUGUGGGAGAGGUGAGUGGAAUUCCCGGUGUAGCGGUGAAAUGCGUAGAUAUCGUGAGGAAGACCAGUGGCGAAGGCGGGUCUCUGGACAGUUCCUGACACUGAGGCACGAAGGCCAGGGGAGCAAACGGG
rnacentral:rRNA from 1 species